GGGAGGCAGCAGUGGGGAAUAUUGCACAAUGGGCGCAAGCCUGAUGCAGCCAUGCCGCGUGUGUGAAGAAGGCCUUCGGGUUGUAAAGCACUUUCAGCGGGGAGGAAGGCGUUAAGGUUAAUAACCUCAUCGAUUGACGUUACCCGCAGAAGAAGCACCGGCUAACUCCGUGCCAGCAGCCGCGGUAAUACGGAGGGUGCAAGCGUUAAUCGGAAUUACUUGGCGUAAAGCGCACGCAGGC
rnacentral:rRNA from 1 species